rnacentral:rRNA from 1 species
UACGGGGGGGGCAAGCGUUGUUCGGAAUUACUGGGCGUAAAGGGCUCGUAGGCGGCCAACUAAGUCGGAUGUGAAAUCCCCAGGCUUAACCUGGGAAUUGCAUCCGAUACUGGAUGGCUUGAAUCCGGGAGAGGGAUGCGGAAUUCCAGGUGUAGCGGUGAAAUGCGUAGAUAUCUGGAGGAACACCGGUGGCGAAGGCGGCAUCCUGGACCGGCAUUGACGCUGAGGAGCGAAAGCCAGGGGAGCGAACAGG